GUAUCUAGAUGAUUUGUUUGAAAAAAUUCCUAAACUCUGAUAGCAAAAUGUGCAGGGACUCUAUCUUGUAGCAGGAUUAUGGCAGCUGCUAUUCCAAUUGCCAUAAGCUAUGGAUAGAGCUAUGGUCAAAAUAUGUCUUCAUAUGACUACUAAUUAACAGGAUCAUCAAACAAAAAUAAGGUCCAAUAAGGUCUAAUAUGCCUUGGAUUCAUGCUAACUCAGAUCAUAGCUUGUGGUGGAUUCUUUUCCACUUCCUGCAAGUGGCAACCAAAUGCUGUUCAACAGAAUAUGCAUUUGUGUCAAUCAUCGUUACCAACAUUGUUGUUCAAACUGAUGCAGGCUUGCUAUCACAGAAUUUCUCAUUGAAUGUGGCGUGGUAUUCAGUUGUAAUUGUGAUAACAAUGGCAUUCAUACUGAUAUUCUGAAUAUGAUGAUCAAAAAAAAUAAAAAAAAGACAAUAUCUGUUGUUUUUAUGAAAUAAAUGGAGUUUAAUGCAAUUUAUGGUCCACUCUGUAAACAAUUUUAAUAUACUUGAGUUGAUGUUCAUAUACAAAUGUUACAUUUCUUAAAGCCUUUGUUUGCUUUCUAUAAUGAUAUAUUUCCAUUUUGUUUUCUCUAUAUUAUGAAGGGAAAUGUAAAAAAAACAAGGC
rnacentral:lncRNA from 1 species